rnacentral:rRNA from 1 species
ACACUCCUACGGGAGGCAGCAGUGGGGAAUAUUGCACAAUGGGCGCAAGCCUGAUGCAGCCAUGCCGCGUGUAUGAAGAAGGCCUUCGGGUUGUAAAGUACUUUCAGCGGGGAGGAAGGCGAUAAGGUUAAUAACCUUGUUGAUUGACGUUACCCGCAGAAGAAGCACCGGCUAACUCCGUGCCAGCAGCCGCGGUAAUACGGAGGGUGCAAGCGUUAAUCGGAAUUACUGGGCGUAAAGCGCACGCAGGCGGUCUGUCAAGUCGGAUGUGAAAUCCCCGGGCUCAACCUGGGAACUGCAUUCGAAACUGGCAGGCUAGAGUCUUGUAGAGGGGGGUAGAAUUCCAGGUGUAGCGGUGAAAUGCGUAGAGAUCUGGAGGAAUACCGGUGGCGAAGGCGGCCCCCUGGACAAAGACUGACGCUCAGGUGCGAAAGCGUGGGGAGCAAACAGGAGUAGAAACCCCAGUAGUCCCAUGAU